GGUUUCAUGGUGUAGUUGGUUAUUAUACCGGUCUAACACAUUAGUGGUUCCCGGUUUGAGCCCGGGUGAAAGCA